GACGAACCGUGCGAACGUUGUUCGGAAUCACUGGGCAUAAAGGGCGCGUAGGCGGCUUGUCAAGUCAGGGGUGAAAUCCGGCAGCUUAACUGUCGAAGUGCCUUUGAUACUGAUGAGCUAGAGGGAGAUAGGGGUAUGCGGAACUUCCGGUGGAGCGGUGAAAUGCGUUGAUAUCGGAAGGAACGCCGGUGGCGAAAGCGGCGUACUGGAUCUCUUCUGACGCUGAGGCGCGAAAGCUAGGGGAGCAAACGGG
rnacentral:rRNA from 1 species